rnacentral:rRNA from 1 species
UACGUAGGGUGCGAGCGUUUAAUCGGAAUUACUGGGCGUAAAGCGUGCGCAGGCGGUCUGUUAAGAGAGAUGUGAAAUCCCCGGGCUUAACCUGGGAACUGCGUUUCUAACUGGCAGGCUUGAGUGUGGCAGAGGGGGUGGAAUUCCGACGUGUAGCAGUGAAAUGCGUAGAGAUGAUGGAGGAACACCGGUGGCGAAGGCGGCCCACUGGAUCGGAUACUGACGCUGAGGUGCGAAAGCGUGGGGAGCAAACAGG